rnacentral:rRNA from 1 species
GACGAACGCUGGCGGCGUGCUUAACACAUGCAAGUCGAACGGAUAGGCCCUGCUUUUGUGGGGUGCUCGAGUGGCGAACGGGUGAGUAACACGUGAGUAACCUGCCCUUGACUUUGGGAUAACUUCAGGAAACUGGGGCUAAUACCGGAUAGGAGCUCCUGCUGCAUGGUGGGGGUUGGAAAGUUUCGGCGGUUGGGGAUGGACUCGCGGCUUAUCAGCUUGUUGGUGGGGUAGUGGCUUACCAAGGCUUUGACGGGUAGCCGGCCUGAGAGGGUGACCGGCCACAUUGGGACUGAGAUACGGCCCAGACUCCUACGGGAGGCAGCAGUGGGGAAUAUUGCACAAUGGGCGGAAGCCUGAUGCAGCAACGCCGCGUGCGGGAUGACGGCCUUCGGGUUGUAAACCGCUUUCGCCUGUGACGAAGCGUGAGUGACGGUAAUGGGUAAAGAAGCACCGGCUAACUACGUG